GACGAACGCUGGUGGCGUGCUUAACACAUGCAAGUCGAACGGAAAGGCCCUGCUUUUGUGGGGUGCUCGAGUGGCGAACGGGUGAGUAACACGUAAGUAACCUGCCCUUGACUUUGGGAUAACUUCAGGAAACUGGGGCUAAUACCGGAUAGGAGCUCCUGCUGCAUGGUGGGGGUUGGAAAGUUUCGGCGGUUGGGGAUGGACUCGCGGCUUAUCAGCUUGUUGGUGGGGUAGUGGCUUACCAAGGCUUUGACGGGUAGCCGGCCUGAGAGGGUGACCGGCCACAUUGGGACUGAGAUACGGCCCAGACUCCUACGGGAGGCAGCAGUGGGGAAUAUUGCACAAUGGGCGGAAGCCUGAUGCAGCAACGCCGCGUGCGGGAUGACGGCCUUCGGGUUGUAAACCGCUUUCGCCUGUGACGAAGCGUGAGUGACGGUAAUGGGUAAAGAAGCACCGGCUAACUACGUGCCAGCAGCCGCGGUGAUACGUAGGGUGCGAGCGUUGUCCGGAUUUAUUGGGCGUAAAGGGCUCGUAGGUGGUUGAUCGCGUCGGAAGUGUAAUCUUGGGGCUUAACCCUGAGCGUGCUUUCGAUACGGGUUGACUUGAGGAAGGUAGGGGAGAAUGGAAUUCCUGGUGGAGCGGUGGAAUGCGCAGAUAUCAGGAGGAACACCAGUGGCGAAGGCGGUUCUCUGGGCCUUUCCUGACGCUGAGGAGCGAAAGCGUGGGGAGCGAACAGGCUUAGAUACCCUGGUAGUCCACGCUGUAAACGGUGGGUACUAGGUGUGGGGUCCAUUCCACGGGUUCCGUGCCGUAGCUAACGCUUUAAGUACCCCGCCUGGGGAGUACGGCCGCAAGGCUAAGACUCAAAGGAAUUGACGGGGCCCCGCACAAGCGGCGGAGCAUGCGGAUUAAUUCGAUGCAACGCGUAGAACCUUACCUGGGUUUGACAUGGAUCGGGAGUGCUCAGAGAUGGGUGUGCCUCUUUUGGGGUCGGUUCACAGGUGGUGCAUGCCUGUCGUCAGCUCGUGUCGUGAGAUGUUGGGUUAAGUCCCGCAACGAGCGCAACCCUUGUUCACUGUUGCCAGCACGUUAUGGUGGGGACUCAGUGGAGACCGCCGGGGUCAACUCGGAGGAAGGUGGGGAUGACGUCAAGUCAUCAUGCCCCUUAUGUCCAGGGCUUCACGCAUGCUACAAUGGCUGGUACAGAGAGUGGCGAGCCUGUGAGGGUGAGCGAAUCUCGGAAAGCCGGUCUCAGUUCGGAUUGGGGUCUGCAACUCGACCUCAUGAAGUCGGAGUCGCUAGUAAUCGCAGAUCAGCAACGCUGCGGUGAAUACGUUCCCGGGGCU
rnacentral:rRNA from 1 species